rnacentral:rRNA from 1 species
AUUGAACGCUGGCGGAAUGCUUUACACAUGCAAGUCGAACGGUAGAGGGGGUAACCCCUCGAGAGUGGCGAACGGGUGAGUAAUAUAUCGGAACGUGCCCAGUCGUGGGGGAUAACGUAGCGAAAGUUACGCUAAUACCGCAUACGAUCUAAGGAUGAAAGCGGGGGAUCGCAAGACCUCGCGCGAUUGGAGCGGCCGAUAUCAGAUUAGGUAGUCGGUGGGGUAAAGGCUCACCAAGCCAACGAUCUGUAGCUGGUCUGAGAGGACGACCAGCCACACUGGAACUGAGACACGGUCCAGACUCCUACGGGAGGCAGCAGUGGGGAAUUUUGGACAAUGGACGCAAGUCUGAUCCAGCCAUUCCGCGUGCAGGAUGAAGGCCCUCGGGUUGUAAACUGCUUUUGUACGGAACGAAAAGGUCUCUCUUAAUACGGGGGACUCAUGACGGUACCGUAAGAAUAAGCACCGGCUAACUACGUGCCAGCAGCCGCAGUAAUAC